rnacentral:snRNA from 1 species
AAAUGUGAGGGCAAUCUGGCUGCUACAUCUGUUACCCUAUUGAUCACCAGGAUUGUUUUGGCUGGUGUGGCUGGCCAGGCAGGUGACCCUUCCUCCCUCACUGUUCCAUGUACAACCCUUCUGAAACUCUGGCCUUUCCCACUAGAGGAGGACCAAUCUUUUGUCAAGGAUAUAAGAGUUGUGCUCCCCUGCUAGAACCUACAAACAAGCUCUCAGUUCAUGAAAGUCACUUCUCUUGCAUAUUGUGAAAUGUAAGAAAGGGUAUCAUAUUUUCUCAAUAUCCUGUUUAUAGGUUGCUUUAUAUUUGUAAAAGAUACAAUAU